rnacentral:rRNA from 1 species
UACGGGGGGGGCAAGCGUUGUUCGGAAUUACUGGGCGUAAAGGGCUCGUAGGCGGCCAACUAAGUCCGACGUGAAAUCCCAAGGCUUAACCUUGGAACUGCGUCGGAUACUGGAUGGCUUGAAUUCGGGAGAGGGAUGCAGAAUUCCAGGUGUAGCGGUGAAAUGCGUAGAUAUCUGGAGGAAUACCGGUGGCGAAGGCGGCAUCCUGGACUGGCAUUGACGCUGAGGCGCGAAAGCUAGGGGAGCAAACGGG